rnacentral:rRNA from 1 species
AGGGAGACAGGUGGUGCAUGGUUGUCGUCAGCUCGUGUCGUGAGGUGUUGGGUUAAGGUCCCGCAACGAGCGCAACCCCUACUGCCAGUUACUAACAGGUAACGCUGAGGACUCUGGCGGAACUGCCGGUGACAAACCGGAGGAAGGUGGGAUGACGUCAAGUCAUCAUGGCCCCUAUGUCCAGGGCUACACACGUGCUACAAUGGUUGGUACAACGAGUUGCGAGUCGGUGACGGCGAGCUAAUCUCUUAAAGCCAAUCUCAGUUCGGAUUGUAGGCUGCAACUCGCCUACAUGAAGUCGGAAUCGCUAGUAAUCGCGGAUCAGCACGCCGCGGUGAAUACGUUCCCGGGCCUU